UACGGAGGAUGCAAGCGUUAUCCGGAAUGAUUGGGCGUAAAGCGUCCGCAGGUGGCAAUGUAAGUCUGCUGUCAAAGCGUCUGGCUCAACCAGAUAAAGGCAGUGGAAACUACAUAGCUAGAGUAAGGUAGGGGUAGAGGGAAUUCCUGGUGUAGCGGUGAAAUGCGUAGAGAUCAGGAAGAACACCGGUGGUGAAAGCGCUCUGCUGGACCUUAACUGACACUGAGGGACGAAAGCUAGGGGAGCGAAUGGG
rnacentral:rRNA from 1 species